UACUUCCUACGGGAGGCAGCAGUGGGGGAUAUUGCACAAUGGGGGGAACCCUGACGCAGCGACGCCGCGUGGGUGAAGAAGCGCCUCGGCGCGUAAAGCCCUGUCAGCAGGGAAGAAAAUGACGGUACCUGAAGAAGAAGCCCCGGCUAACUACGUGCCAGCAGCCGCGGUAAUACGUAGGGGGCAAGCGUUAUCCGGAUUUACUGGGUGUAAAGGGGGCGCAGACGGCGAUGAAAGCCAGGAGUGAACGCCCGG
rnacentral:rRNA from 1 species